CGUUCUGUAAGCCUGCGAAGGUGUGCUGUGAGGCAUGCUGGAGGUAUCAGAAGUGCGAAUGCUGACAUAAGUAACGAUAAAGCGGGUGAAAAGCCCGCUCGCCGGAAGACCAAGGGUUCCUGUCCAACGUUAAUCGGGGCAGGGUGAGUCGACCCCUAAGGCGAGGCCGAAAGGCGUAGUCGAUGGGAAACAGGUUAAUAUUCCUGUACUUGGUGUUACUGCGAAGGGGGGACGGAGAAGGCUAUGUUGGCCGGGCGACGGUUGUCCCGGUUUAAGCGUGUAGGCUGGUUUUCCAGGCAAAUCCGGAAAAUCAAGGCUGAGGCGUGAUGACGAGGCACUACGGUGCUGAAGCAACAAAUGCCCUGCUUCCAGGAAAAGCCUCUAAGCAUCAGGUAACAUCAAAUCGUACCCCAAACCGACACAGGUGGUCAGGUAGAGAAUACCAAGGCGCUUGAGAGAACUCGGGUGAAGGAACUAGGCAAAAUGGUGCCGUAACUUCGG
rnacentral:rRNA from 1 species